rnacentral:rRNA from 1 species
UAAUACGUAGGGUGCAAGCGUUAUCCGGAAUUAUUGGGCGUAAAGAGCUCGUAGGCGGUUUGUCGCGUCUGCUGUGAAAUCCCGAGGCUCAACUUCGGGCUUGCAGUGGGUACGGGCAGACUAGAGUGCGGUAGGGGAGAUUGGAAUUCCUGGUGUAGCGGUGGAAUGCGCAGAUAUCAGGAGGAACACCGAUGGCGAAGGCAGAUCUCUGGGCCGUAACUGACGCUGAGGAGCGAAAGGGUGGGGAGCAAACAGGCUUAGAUACCCUGGUAGUCCACCCCGUAAACGUUGGGAACUAGUUGUGGGGUCCUUUCCACGGAUUCCGUGACGCAGCUAACGCAUUAAGUUCCCCGCCUGGGGAGUACGGCCGCAAGGCUAAAACUCAAAUGAAUUGACGG